CUUUCCAGACUUCUUUUUUUUUUUUACCAAACAGUGCUGCUUGCCAGUUUCGAUCAGCUGUACAGUAGUUAAAAACGAUUCUGUUAUAAACAUUUCCCAGAGGCACUAGCACUACAUAUUCGCUUUUGUAUAACAGCAGUGAUUUUAUUUGAAAACAAUGUCUAACACUGUUUCUUUCAGUACACAAAUAGCUGCAAUCAUGGAUGUGCUAUCAAAGGCAGCAGUUGCAGAAAUAACCAAACUUGUAGACGAGGGCACCGUCGUGCUACGUCUUGAAAUGUGUCGGAAAGAAAAUGAGAUAGAAGGCCUUCAAAAUAGUUUACAGCUGAUGGAAAGAGAACUGAGGAAAGCUCAAAGAGAAGCAGCAACACGAGUGACAAAUGACAGGCAACAUGCUGAGGGAAUUCGGGUUGGGAGUGGGACUCCACAAAAAGGUGAUGAAGAGAACCAAAAAGCCCAAGCCAUGCCUGUCGAGGACCCAGUAGAGAGCUUCAAUGAGCUGCAGAGGUCUGGACACCUUGAGGAGGUGAGGGAUGGACUGGAGUUUCUGGUGAAAGCAGAGCAGGUGGAAGAACAUGUAGCCCAGGGAACCAUACAAGAUCCAGGAAUCACAGACAGUGUGGACUUUAGAAUGGAUGAGAGAGAUAGUCAGCUGUGGUCCUCUGUUACACAAGGACUAAGUGGGAAUAAUUCAGGCCACCCAGAUGGGUCUUACUCUACAGGGAGAUGCUUACAGAUGUUCUCAUCUCAGGCAGAUCAAUAUCCCACUCCCAUCCCAGCCCAUCCUUCCUGUAACUCUUUGUCCAUUGUAGGGAAACCACUGGAUGACAUAUUCAGCACUGUCCCAGUGAAAGUGGAGCCUGAGAGGCAUCCUGUGUAUCAUGACGAUGCCAUGUCUGAGUCCAUACAUGUUGUGCAGGGGCAGUACAGAGAUACUCUGCAUCCUGUUGUGAGGGAGGGCUUGAUUUUACAUCCCAGACUGCAGCAGCCAGGACCUUCUUCACAUGUCCUCUUGAGAGCAACUGAGAGCACAUCAGAGUCACACUCACACAACCAAGAGCAUAUUCUUAAUAAGAACAGAUUGAAAACAAAGAGGAUGGUAAAUGUUUGGAGAGCUGUACCAAACCAAAAAGUGUUCAUCUGCUCAUUGUGUGGAAAGAGCUUCCACCGCCAUUGUCAACUUGAAGCACACCAGCACUCUCAUGCUGGAGUCAAGCCAUACAGAUGUCUUGAGUGUGGGAAAAGUUUUACUCAGAAACAAAGACUUAAGUCACAUCAGAGUGUUCACACGGGUGAGAGACCUUUCAGUUGCAGACUCUGUGGCAAGAGGUUUGCAAGGCAGGACAACUGCCAAACACAUGAGCGAUUUCACAGUGGACAAAAGCCAUUUAGUUGUGUGCUGUGUGGUAAAAGUUUCACAGUUCUCUGUAACCUCAAACUACAUCAAAAACAUCAAUGUGUCCACUGACCCAAGUGCGACUGUCAAAGAUGCUUCAAAAGUUGUUUUGGCCCGGAGGCUGAGACUUGCUGCUCCAGGCCCGGUUUAAGGUUAAGCUCAUCGUUAGAUCCUUCGUAGGAGCAUCGUUAAAUCUCUGAACUGUUUGCCUUACCCAGAGCUGCAAACUUUAACGCAUUGGCCGUGAGACACGCAUUUUAGCCUCUUCUCACGCAUCGAAAAGUACUGGUUUUAUUUUUCAAAUUUAUUUUUCAAAUUAGUCAUUUUCAACUGUGCUCUAAAUGGUUUUGAAAUCGGAGCAUCUGCACCUGCAAUUUAAUAACAUCACAAGCGGAACCUCUAUCAUUAUUGGCCUGUCUUGCCACGGCACUGUGAACUGCGGCACAUUAAAGCAUAUGAUUAGUCUAGUUAUGUAAAGGAUAAAGAUGAUUGGAUGCGUGUUUUAAAGAAGAAACACUCAAGAUUAAUGUGGCACUGAAUGGAGAGAGAGAGAGAACGUUCUCCGCGGAGUUUAUAAAACUGUUAAUAGAGCAACACGGUAGCGCUGUUUUAUGUACAAUGUUGUCAACAAAAUGAGUUUGCUGUUACUCCCGUCUCUAUUGCAGAAUGCAGCCUUUUGACAGCAUGUACUAAAGUUGAUUUAAUCCACACUUGUCCUCUCGUUUGGUGAUUGGCAUUUAGGCUGUGACAUCGAAAAGGCAGCAGAUAGAGACCGACAGCAUGUCAGCGGAAUGCAGCCUACCCUGUCCAUAGCUAAACUGCUACAGGAAAUGCGAUUACGCCCCCAUCCUUGACCGUGCGCACAGAAACAUACAGUCCACACGGAAGAAUGGAGAGUCGCCCAGACCCAUAGUAGUUAAAUUCCACUACCUUCAGGAGAAGGAUGUCUUCCGUAAGGCAGUGCGAGCGGCUCCCAUCACCCACGACGGCCGUAAUAUUCUCAUUUACUCGGACUACAUGGCGGCAGUCAUGAAGAAGUCAGCCUUCGAGGUUGGGUGCCGUGGGAGCUGGAGCCCUGUGGGUCUAUGGAGGUGAACCAGGAAAGUGCAGACAGGAAUUGAAAACUCAGUUCAUUUCAGUCUUUGGAUUGAAGUCUGACUAUUAAUUAUACUGCCUGUAUAAUUCAGUCUGGGCCUAGAACUGUCCCACUUCGAUUCAGGGCUACUCUGAAAACUGAUUUUCUCUCUGUAAAUGUCGUCCCUUUUGUUGCUAUUUUCAACCUAUUGACAUAACCUAACUUACAAUUUUAAUUUGGUUUCAAUCAAUAUGCAAAGGAUUGUCAAUUUACACCCAAGUAUGGAAAUGUCAGGUAUCACAUCUCAUGCAUAACCAUGGAUUUAAGGAUGAGCAACCACAUUUAACUUCUUAGGAGCAUUGUCUAGAGAUGUUUUGUCAUUAUUUGUAUCAAUUCCAUAAACCAAAGCAUUUUCUAUUUUUAACGGGUUUUGCGGAAAAAAAAAUGUUCUGCAGAGAACUGAUUGUCUUAUUUGUGUUUUCAAUUUUACAAGUAGCUAUUUAUGACUGAUUUCACAGAAAUAUCCACCUAUAAGGGCAUUUAUUAGAAAGUUUAUGGUAACCCUUUCUGUCGUCGUUUCCGUUAUCAAGCUUCCCGGAAGAGAACUUUUUUUCACAAACAAUGCUUCCAGCCAGCUUCAAGGAACUGUACAAUUGUAGAAACGAUUCUGUUAUAAACAUUUCACAGAAGCACUACAUAUUCGUUUUUGUGUAACAACGUAGAUUUAAAAAAAAAAAUUUUUAAACAAUGUCUGUUUCUUUCAGUACACAAAUAGCUGCCAUCAUGGACGUGCUAACAAAGUCAGCUGUUGCAGAAAUAACCAAACUUGUAGACGAGGGCACUGUAGUGCUACGGCUUGAAAUGUGUCAGAAAGAAAAUGAGAUAGAAGGUCUUCAAAAUAGUUUACAGCUGAUGGAAAGAGAACUGAGGAAAGCUCAAAGAGAAGCAGCAACACGAGUGACAGAUGACAGGCAAGAUGCUGAGGGAAUUCAGGUUGGGAGUGGGACUCCACAAAAAGGUGAUGAAGAGGACCAAAAAGCCCAAGCCAUGCCUGUAGAGGACCCAGUAGAGAGCUUCAAUGAGCUGCAGAGGUCUGGACACCUUGAAGAGGUGAGGGGUGGACUGGAGUUUCUGGUGAAAGCAGAGCAGGUGGAAGAACAUGUAGCCCAGGGAACCAUACAAGAUCCAGGAAUCACAGACAGUGUGGACUUUAGAAUGGAUGAGAGAGAUAGUCAGCUGUGGUCCUCUGUUACACAAGGACUAAGUGGGAAUAAUUCAGGCCACCCAGAUGGGUCUUACUCUACAGGGAGAUGCUUACAGAUGUUCUCAUCUCAGGCAGAUCAAUAUCCCACUCCCAUCCCAUCCCAUCCUUCCUGUAACUCUUUGUCCAUUGUAGGGAAACCACUGGAUGACAUAUUCAGCACUGUCCCAGUGAAAGUGGAGCCUGAGAGGCAUCCUGUGUAUCAUGACGAUGCCAUGUCUGAGUCCAUACAUGUUGUGCAGGGGCAGUACAGAGAUACUCUGCAUCCUGUUGUGAGGGAGGGCUUCAUUUUACAGCCCAGAAUGCAGCAGCCAGGACCUUCUUCACAAGGGCUUAUGAGAGCAACUGAGAGCACAUUAGAGUCACACAACCAAGAGCAUAUUCUUAAUAAGAACAGAUUGAAAACAAAGAGGAUGGUAAAUGUUUGGAGAGCUGUACCAAACCAAAAAGUGUUCAUCUGCUCAUUGUGUGGAAAGAGCUUCCACCGCCAUUGUCAACUUGAAGCACACCAGCACUCUCAUGCUGGAGUCAAGCCAUACAGAUGUCUUGAGUGUGGGAAAAGUUUUACUCAGAAAAAUAGACUUAAGUCACAUCAGAGUGUUCACACGGGUGAGAGACCUUUCAGUUGCAGACUCUGUGGCAAGAUGUUUACAAGGCAGGACAACUGCCAAAGACAUGAGCGAUUUCACAGUGGACAAAAGCCAUUUAGUUGUGUUCAGUGUGGUAAAAGUUUCACGGUUCUCGGUAACCUCAAAUUACAUCAAAAACAUCAAUGUAAAUUUGCCAAUGUCAGAAUUUAAGACUGCAUAUGUUGUAUAGUGUUUUCCUCAAUAUUGUACAGUUAAUGAACUGUUUACAUAUGUUAAUUGUUGAGCCUUUCAACUGUACUGAGACUUGCAGGUUUAGGUUUCCAAAUUGUAAUCGGUUUCUACAUUAUGAAUGAAGUAUUAAAGAUGUUAAUCCUUUUU